rnacentral:rRNA from 1 species
AUUGAACGCUGGCGGCAUGCCUUACACAUGCAAGUCGAACGGCAGCAUGAUCUAGCUUGCUAGAUUGAUGGCGAGUGGCGAACGGGUGAGUAAUACAUCGGAACGUGCCCUGUAGUGGGGGAUAACUAGUCGAAAGAUUAGCUAAUACCGCAUACGACCUGAGGGUGAAAGUGGGGGACCGCAAGGCCUCAUGCUAUAGGAGCGGCCGAUGUCUGAUUAGCUAGUUGGUGAGGUAAAGGCUCACCAAGGCGACGAUCAGUAGCUGGUCUGAGAGGACGAUCAGCCACACUGGGACUGAGACACGGCCCAGACUCCUACGGGAGGCAGCAGUGGGGAAUUUUGGACAAUGGGCGAAAGCCUGAUCCAGCAAUGCCACGUGUGUGAAGAAGGCCUUCGGGUUGUAAAGCACUUUUGUCCGGAAAGAAAUGGCUCUGGUUAAUACCUGGGGUCGAUGACGGUACCGGAAGAAUAAGGACCGGCUAACUACGUG